GAAUAUCUGAAGAGUUCGACAUUUGUUUUUCUAUUUUGACCUAACACUUUUGAUUAGGGAGUCUAAUGGGUUUUCAUACUAAGCACAAGCCUAUAUUAUAGGACGUGCAAUGUAAGAAACAGGACACCCACCUGUAUAUAGCAGGCCAAAAUAAUCAACUUUAAGAUGACGGCUCAGUCGGAUGUUAU
rnacentral:other from 1 species